UGACAACACGGAGCUGCUCCGCACGGCCCAAGGAUCUUUGAAGGGGACCUAAUGCCUACUGCAUGCAUCUAAUCAGAAAGGCAUGGGUGCUCCUGCGUGCCUCUUUCAUCUGAAUAAAACAUGGAAGGAACAAGGCGAGGUGUUAGAUGAGGUACAGACACAGCUGAUACAUACAAAGCGUCUCUCUUAACGCCGUGGCUACACCAGCAUGCGUCUGCAGAGAGCUGCUUGGUCUGCUCCCACUUGUUUCAGGGCACCCAGAUGCCAGCCAGCUUGGCCUGUCCUCCAUAGAGAAAUGGCCACAUGUCCCUGGGACAACAGAGCAGAAAGCUAUGUGGAUGCACUGAGGGAAGACAGCACUUAGGGUGCACAGAGAAUAUCCAUCUGGAAGAACGAGCCCAGAAACUUGCCUGACCCAGGGAUCCCUGGAGAACAUCAGCUUGAGUCUAAGGAGAGAUACAACAUUGCUCUCCCUCCCUUGGCUGUCUUCACAUCAAAACGGGCAUCUUUCUAUGUGCUGUGUCGUACUAAUCUAGAAGAGAUGGGUUGGUCUGAGUUACAACAGCUGAAGUAUGGCCUUUGCAGACUAAGGACAAGCAAACGUUUAGCAAGCUUUCAGAAAGACGUUAUUUUCCAAUUAGCGUGUUGAAACUGCUGAGUGCACAGUGCUAUCUUCGGGUGACCUGCCAACUCUCCUCUUUCUGAUCCAGAGCAUUUCAAGAUGCCCGCAGAUCCCUCAGACUGCUGGUUGGAUUUGCAGACGUGAGCUCUUCUGCAUGUUACAAGGCAGCUGGAUAAGGCUCACGCUAGGAACGCCACAGAUUAUUCAUGAUCUAUGGGAGCUCUCUUUAAAAGCAGGAAGAAUCCCCCGCUGCCUAGCAAAACUCGGAGAGAAAUAAUGUCCCCAGCAGGAGCCCGGAGGGGCUUUAAACAACAGUGGACAUUGACAAAACACGCUGUAUGAUUUGGAAGUGCAAGGGAGGCAAGGGAUAUUGUUUUUUUAGUGGCAGGACCUGGGAAAGCAGCAGGAAGCCUGCACAACGUCCCUGCAGCCAGGCACCCCGAGCCACAGGAGGGAACCUCAGCAAGUGCUGUUUUCUGCUCCAUCCAUCCUACCAAUGACAUCAGAUGCAAGAGAUGCCAGGGUCUUCAGUGAGGAUCAGCCUUAGAAGACCAAAAGCACAAGCUGGCAUCACUUGGGCCGCCAGUCACCCCCGGUUAGCAAGAACCUUCUGGUCUGGAGGAAUCAGCCUGUAGAGGGAAGCAUGAACAGUUUGACAGCCCGACUCAUGAUCUUUGUGUUCUAUUAUUAUUACUAGUAGUGAAGUUAUUAUAGGAUCCAGGAACCUGAACCACGGAUGAGGAAGGUGCUUUCAAAGGGAAACUCCUAGCCAUCUUGCUUUGACUUGUGCUGCAAGGCAGUCCUAAGAGCAGCAGCUAAACUGAAAGGUAUGAAGGGUGGUCUGUCCCCAGCAGCGGGCCAGAAGCACCCUAAAAAAAUGCCUAAAAUACAUGUGGUGUGGAUGGUGGCUCCUCAGCUCCAGCUGCGUUGCUCCACAAAUCUAUCUAUCUAUCUAUCUAUCUGUCUAUCUAUCUAUCAUUACCACUUCUAUCAUUAUCCGUGUACAUACAGUGUUUUAACUCUUCUCCAUAUCUCUUAGAAGUGUUAAGAAAAUUCAAAGCUGAAAAUAGUUUUUGAAAUGACUGAAUGUUAGACCUGCAAAAUAUGACUGUACUUUAUUGAUAGUGUUUUUUCUAUGAUAAAAACAUUUGGUACAAAGUAUGAUAUCCUGUAUGAGCUUCACAUAAAUACUUCCAUUAUAUCACUGAUACGGAUCAGAAAAAUUUCAGUACGCACAUCCUGCAAAUGCAAGUGUAAUUGAUACAAGGUAUGUAUCGUAAUGUACAUCUUGAGUAAACAUAAGAAAACCAUA